GUCUCUGUGGCGCAAUUGGUUAGCGCGUUCGGCUGUUAACCGGAAGGUUGGUGGUUCAAGCCCACCAAGGGACG
rnacentral:tRNA from 1 species